UACGAAGGGGGCUAGCGUUGCUCGGAAUCACUGGGCGUAAAGGGUGCGUAGGCGGGUCUUUAAGUCAGGGGUGAAAUCCUGGAGCUCAACUCCAGAACUGCCUUUGAUACUGAAGAUCUUGAGUUCGGGAGAGGUGAGUGGAACUGCGAGUGUAGAGGUGAAAUUCGUAGAUAUUCGCAAGAACACCAGUGGCGAAGGCGCUCACUGGCCCGAUACUGACACUGAGGCACGAAGGCCAGGGGAGCAAACGGG
rnacentral:rRNA from 1 species